GAGAAAAGGCUAAUCGGCUUCUCGUUCAUCCCGCUGAUGGACCGCGAUGGAACCGUCUUACCGGACGGACAGCAUCAACUGUUGGUUUAUAAAGUGGAGGACUGUGCCCGCUUGAAAGAUCCGUCCGUCUCCUAUCUGCAGUUGCCCUACUCGACGAAGCAGGUCCAAUCGGCGGCCGUUCAGGCCACUGCGUCCAUCGCCUCAUCGUCUCCAUCCUGUGCGUCGUUUCAGCGCAACAGCCGUGAGUCAGUCACGGUGGCUUUCUACCUUUGUUCCACGAAACUCACUCAGAACGCCAAUUUGCUUUCGUUGCUCAAAUGGAAAUCUCACCCGGAACGCAUUACCGAUACACUGAACCUGGUCAUGCGUUUGAAAGAGGAGCUGAGUCAAGUUCCUCCAAGACGUGCUGGAUUCGCUUUUCGUCAUGUUCUCCGAUUCUGAAGGAAACGCAACGCCCCAUUCCGGAUUGGUCUUUGAAGUUUUGGUGAAUAUUUUGAGUUUGCUGGACGAUAGUAAAUUCCAGCAUUUCAAGUCGGUCGUGGACGCCUACAUAACCGAUCAUUUUUCGGCUGCUUUGGCUUACAAGUA